AAUAGAUACCCGGGUAGUCCACGCCGUAAACGAUGGAUGCUAGCUGUAGGGGGUAUCGACCCCUUCUGUAGCGAAGCUAACGCGUUAAGCAUCCCGCCUGUGGAGUACGGCCGCAAGGCUAAAACAUAAAGGAAUUGACGGGGACCCGCACAAGCGGUGGAUCGUGUUCUUUAAUUCGAUGAUAAACGGAGAACCUUACCAGGGCUUGACAUCCUUGGAAUUUCUGCGAAAGCAGUUAGUGCCUUUUGGAACCAAGUGACAGGUGAUGCAUGGCCGUCGUCAGCUCGUGUCGUGAGAUGUUUGGUUAAGUCCAUCAACGAGCGCAACCCUUAUGUUUAGUUGUAUUUUUCUAAACAGACUGCCCCGGUAACGGGGAGGAAGGAGGGGAUGAUGUCAGGUCAGUAUUCCCUUACGUCCUGGGCUAGAAACACGAUACAAUGGCUAGUACAAUGCGCAGCGAAGCCGCGAGGUGGAGCAAAUCGCACCAAAGCUAGUCCCAGUUCGGAUUGGAGGCUGAAACUCGCCUCCAUGAAGUCGGAAUCGCU
rnacentral:rRNA from 1 species